CUAUAAUGGAGAGUUUGAUCCUGGCUCAGGACGAACGCUGGCGGCGUGCCUAAUACAUGCAAGUCGAGCGGAAGUUGAAGAGCUUGCUCUUCAACUUUAGCGGCGGACGGGUGAGUAACACGUGGGCAACCUGCCCUGCAGAUCGGGAUAACUCCGGGAAACCGGUGCUAAUACCGAAUAGUUUUGGGUCCCUCCUGGGACCCAACGGAAAGACGGUUUCGGCUGUCACUG
rnacentral:rRNA from 1 species